ACAGCGCAAAAGACCACCAAAACGUUCGGGGUUUCAAUACAGUGUGGGCGCGCGAGUGUCGCAGGUGCGGUGGGCGGGUGUAUGCCCGCACCUAGUUACCAGGGGCUCCAGCUUAAUUUAUUGCGUCAGCUUAAGAGUGCCAGCUUAAUCUAUUGUACUUCUCAUCACCUGAUUGUGCUUACAAGGAACAGGUUGAAUCUCCAUCAUAUAUAUCUGAAGUCAAAAUCAGCGCUUGUACUUCAGUCAUUGACAUCUUAACUGAACACCCUGGCUAUUAAACAGCAUUCUACCUCCAGUGGGUUGAGCAGAGACAGGCAAGAUCGGAAAAUUGCUAGAGUGGAAGACUGGCAUUCCAUGAGGUGAUCAUGGCAGGAGAAACGGGUUAUGUAGAAAUACAGAGAAUAAGAAAUAAAGAAGAGCAUGGAGAUGACAUCUUGCCACUCACUUUGAAUGG